AUUCAGUUGAAACCAGAAUAGAGAAAGUCUAUUAUUAAUUUGCUACGUGGUGAAGACGCCGGUUAUCGCGAUUCUUCCUACGGAAUACGGAAAAUCUGCAAAUCAAAGCUUGCCCGAGCGGCGGGGAUCGAAGUAAAUUUCCUUAUAGUUGUCUUGUUAUUUGUUCACUUUAAAGUAUAAUUCAAGAUCAGAUAGUUGAGGCUACAUCACUUGGCAGUGCAGCUAUGAGGUUGGAUGAUGAUUUUAAGAAUAACAUUUCAAAACAUGCUCAACUGUUAUAAUUUUGCAGUUAAUUUGCUAUACGGCAGAAUACGUUAAACAACCGUGGUUCAGGAGCCUUUUAAAAGAUAAAAGCUCUGUGACUGUGUUGUGACUGUUGUCUAAAAUAGCUUCAAAAACUCAUUAAUAAUUCAUGAGGAAGAAACACAAAGAAAAAUCGUAAACGUGUAUCUUUAUAUGUGAUAGAGAUUUCCCUUGAUUUACAUAAACUUUAAGUUUGAUUUUCUUUACAUACACAACGAAUGUUUUGAAAGCUAUUUCGCCAAUGAACUUAUACUCGAUCGAUCGUUUUUGAAGCAAUUUAAAACAUUCGCAGUGCGUGUUUUAUCAGACCAUCUUUAUAUAUCUGGUAAAACACUGCUGCUCAUGUUUUAAAUAGUGCAUAAAAUCUCUGCAAAUCUCCGUAGUUGCCGAGCAAAAAGCAUGCAUGAUGCUAAAUAUAAAUCUCGACUAUGAUUGGAUAAUGGAUGAAGGUGCUAAUUACAAAACGUCAAUCAUCCUUAAUGGGCGAAAACAAAUUUGUCAUAGCCAUUUGGGCAGGCGUUUCCUCAGUUGGCUACCCAGAGCCUCGCGUUCGCGUUUUGACCAAUCACGAACGAGAAUAGACUUUGAAUAUAUAAUAACAAGGGUUAUCGAAUUUGUCCAAAUAUAUGGCUGGUUGAAUGGACCUGCCGAUAUGGCGAUGUUUUUACCGAACUGUGGUGGAUUUAGUAAUCAUUGCGUUCGUAAGUCUCCAGUCCAAGAGAUGAAUUUCAUAAUAGAUUAAGCAUUUCUAAUCUUGUACCACGUGUACUGUACCGGAGCAAAAUCUGCUGAUUUCUUGUUAAGUCGAUGUACAUGUUUUUUUUUCUUCAGGCGAGGGAAGCCUUUGUUUCUGUGUCAAGAUCGCUAUAAGAAACUUCAAGAGCAAUGGAUUUCUCAUAAUUUUGAUAGUAUUUGUAAAACAUGGGUACUACAUCAUAAUAAUUUGUAAAUAAUCAUGUUAUACCUAAUAUUGUACAAAUUUCAUAAAUAUUUGUGUAUAGACAGUUCACGAAUUUGCAUGUAUUUAUAUUUAUAAAAGAUUAAUUUUGCGUGAAAGUUUAUAUAUUAAAAGUGAAGAAAAUGCG